rnacentral:rRNA from 1 species
UACGUAGGGUGCAAGCGUUAAUCGGAAUUACUGGGCGUAAAGCGUGCGCAGGCGGCUUUGCAAGACAGAUGUGAAAUCCCCGGGCUUAACCUGGGAACUGCAUUUGUGACUGCAUGGCUGGAGUGCGGCAGAGGGGGAUGGAAUUCCGCGUGUAGCAGUGAAAUGCGUAGAUAUGCGGAGGAACACCGAUGGCGAAGGCAAUCCCCUGGGCCUGCACUGACGCUCAUGCACGGAAGCGUGGGGAGCAAACAGG